AUUGCCUUUUUAUUGAGGGCUUGUGAAUGGUUAAAUGAAAUAUGAUUAGAGAUAGUUUAUUAGUCUGAAAUUAAUUUAGUGGUGAGGAAUCCAUUAUUAUAUUAUAAGACGGAAAGACCCCGAGAUCUUUACAGGUAAUUAUUGGUUGUUUUGUUUGGGGCAAAUGUUAUUUGUUUAUUAAUUUUUUGAUCCUAAAGGAUUUAGGUUAAAGUUACCUCGGGGAUAACUGAGUAAAGUACAGGGAAAGAUCGUAUUAAUCUGUAGUGUUACUACCUCGAUGUUGGCUUAAAGAGUACCUAUGUGGAGCAGAAGUUAUAUAAGGUGGUCUGUUCGACUAUUAAAUCUUUAUGAGUUGAG
rnacentral:rRNA from 1 species